rnacentral:ncRNA from 1 species
UGAAUAUUUGAACUUGAUAUAGUUAAAUUAGCUUUUAUUUACAAUUACAUGUUAGCUUUUGCGUGUUUUAGUCUUGAUCUUAAUGGUUGGAUAAUUUUAUAUUUGCAGUUUUUAGUUUUGGUAUAUUUGAUUAGUUUCAGAUCUGGGUAAUUUAUUUAUGGUUGUAAAAAGUUGUGCCAGCAUAUGCGGUUAUACAUCUAACUAAAGUUAAUGUUUUCGAUUUAUAUUUUGGUUUAAUUUGUGUUGGGGAGGUUUAUUUUUAUUAUUGGGUGAAAUUUUAAUUUAUACUUUUCUUUUGGUUAUCUUAGAUUUAUAUUAAAGUUGGUUUUUAAACUAGGAUUAGAUACCCUAUUAUUCCAGCUGUGUUUUUGAGUCUUAUUAUUAAUAGUUAUGUUCUUUAAAUUAAAAAGUUUUGGCGGUAGCUUAAUCUUUUCAGAGGAACCUGUCCUUUAAUUGAUGGUCCACGUUAGAUUUUACUUUACUUUUAGUUUGUAUAUCUCUGUCAUUGAAUGUCUUAUUAGGGAAUUUUCUUUAAUUAUUAAUUUAUAAAAUGUCAAGUCAAGGUGCAGUUAUAGUAAAGGUUGAGAUGGGUUACAUUUAAUGUUUAUUUAUUGGUUGAAUUUAAUUUUAAUAUUUUCAUUAAAUAGGAUUUGAGAGUAAAUUUUAUUAUUUAAUAAUUUUGAUUUUUAGCUCUAGGCUAUGUACACAUCGCCCGUCACUCUCAUCUUUAAAAUGAGAUAAGUCGUAACAAAGUAACUUUACUGGAAAGUGAAGUUGGUUUAU